UUUAAAAGCUGUAUUUUCUAAGCCUUUAAUUUCCUCACAGCAUUAUAUAUCUCAGAUAAAUGCUUUUAUGCCCAUAAAAGAUGCAAUUAGAGCCAGCAUUCAACAGGAGCCAGGAACAGCAAGAAUUGCAGCGGCCAUGGCUGGGUUUUGCCUUCUAAUUACACGCUCGUUCUUCCCAGCUCCACCCAGCAUGUGCGGCGGCGAAGCCGACCAUACCUAAAGCUGUUUCCAUGAAUCGCUGCAAGCAACGGGUCCUGCCAGAACAAAAGAGGAAAUGGGGAACCACGCAACGGCAGGACCAUUUUAUUCCUGAAAUAUCAGUACAGUAACCAGGGCAAGGAAACUGCAUGGGUGCGGUCCCAGCUAAGCCCAGCCACGUCCCAGUCCCGGCGGUGCUGGCUGCUGGAGGAGGAAAGCCUGAGAUGGGGACACUGGCUCUGUGCCCUCUGCGUGAGCAACCGAGAUUUUGAGACAGCUGCUAGCAAUCAAGGCCAGAAAUUCGAGCAAGAAAACGCGAUCCAUCUGCAUGAGCACGGGCAGAGUCUGGAUGCUAACCCGGAUCUGUCAGCAGAGAAUCCCAGAGCCUCAGUCGUGAAGUGAGACUGCCUUCCGCUCAGUGUUGCAUAACAAAAAUACACAGAAGAACACGAUGGUCUCUGCUGCAGAGAGCUCACAGGUAUCUGCGUGCCAAGCGGACUACGUCCCUGGGUAAUGACCAGCCGUUCGAGAGAAGGGUGUUGCAGAAUAACCUGACCCGUGCCCUUCUUCAGGCAACACAGAACUGAGACAUCGAGGGUAGAUUUUCGAGGGGAUUUCUGUUGCUGCAGUACUAACCUACAUAAUUCCUAACUUUUCAUACUCAGAGGGCUCAAUGAGUUCACAACCCAAAGAUAAGUUUAUAAAUUCUGUCACCCGGUCCUUGGAUCUAGUAUUUACCUAAAAAAUAGAUUUAUAAAAGUCAGCAUGCAGAAAUGGCAAAACAGCUAGGUGAUGGGGAAAGGCGAGCAGAGGGGACAGCCCAGACGUCAGUGCCUUUGGGGAGCUCCCUGUCUCUCAUGGCCUUCCCCAGCUUCUCUCUACUUUUAAGAAACAAAUAUUAAUUUCCUCAAGGACUUUAAUUCAUUUUGCUUUUAUCCCAUAUGAACUCCAAGAUUCUAUCUCAAACUAAUGACAAAUAUGUUUGAUUUUUCUAUGCAAAGAAGAAGAGCGUCACAAGGAAAGAUUGAGAACCAUUUGUUUUGUGGUUUCCAGUGGGAUACUGUCCUGCUGGUACGGUUGAUACGUCCAAGUUUUAUAACGUGAUGAAGCUA